rnacentral:lncRNA from 1 species
CACUGGCACAGCUGCCACUGACUGAACAGUGUGUGUGUGUGUGUGUGUGUGUGUGUGUGUGGGUGUGUGCGCACUUGUGUGUUCAAAUCCGAAUCUGUAACUUUCUGCACAUCACAGGUGGAGUCGCUGUAGCCCAGUUCUCUACAAUCAAACGUCCUCAUACCGUAUGUGUGUUUAUGUGUGUGUUCACAGAAUGUGCUAGCCGCGGUCGGUUGGUCGGGACUUUCCUGAGUGUGUGUGCUCUGACGGUACUGUGCGGGCUGGUGGUGGUGGCUGUGUCCAGAUUGCUAUUACAGAAAAGAGGCUGGACACCCGGUGACCCUAUUGAGGAUGGAGGCUAUCACCCCACUAUCAAGGAGCUGUCAUACAUCCCCAGAACCAAUGAGAAGACUGUCACCUACAGGAGGGACUGCCCGUCUGUGGAGAUGCACAUCCAGGUGCCCAAGAUGAACCUGGACGACCACUGGCAGUGCUAGGCAGAAGUCAAAGGUCACGAGGAAGUCAGCAGCAAUAGAGACAUGUGGGAGACGCAUUUGCUCAGGCCCUCAUUCGGCCUUUAAACUGGUGAAGAAUGGCAGACUUAGUAAUAAGGGCGCAGUGGAAUCGAGUUAGUAAAUCUUAUGAACUGAAAUACAAUUGACCAAACUUAUUUGGACUGUGUGACUUCGGCCAGUAUCCUGCAAAUUUUACAGGAAGAGGUGAGGAGAGGAAGAGCACAUGUUCCCUCCUCCUCUUCAUCUGUUGCAGCAGGGUGGCUACUUCCUCUACAAGGUACGAUGUGGUCAUUCCUUUUACUUUUAGCCAUGCUGCAGUUACUGCUCUAACUUAUGUUUGUUUGUUUUGUGUGUGUGUGUGUGUGUGUGUGUGUGUGAGAGAGAGUUUAGGGGUAUGUUGGGGUCUGUAGGCAGGUACAUGUAUGCAGGCCUCCUAUUUAUAAUGUUCUGGUCAAAAAAAAGCAAAAUACACACUACUUGUGUUAGGUUAAUGUGCUUGAAUGACACUCCGCCAAACUUUAGCAUUGUAAUACUAUGACUGUGGCACAGUAACGUCAUCUUGUGUUAGCCUGCCCCCUUGUGGUCAGUGCGAGCUAUGGCAUUUCUUUCUCAAAUACUGUCUAAAUCACUGACCUCAGCUGUGUUGCCUUGGGAUUUAAGAAAUGAAGCACGCCAGUGGUACAGCAGGCUUUUACAAAUCAUAGAAAAGUCUGUUAAUUUCUGUGGAGCUGUAUUUUGAUUUUUUUUUACCUUUUUGAUUAAUUAUUGAUUAAGUGUUUUGUUUCCUGUCUUUUUUCUAAGUGCUUUAGUGUUUCUCUAUUAUGUUUUUCCAUUGUCACGUGAGGUUCGCUGAUCAACUGCCUUGCUCAUCAGUAUUAUACUGUAGAUGUUUUAUCAUGUAAAGCGAGCAUGUAGUUGUAUAUUGUUGUCUAUUGUCAAUAAUCAGGUUAGACUUGCACUAGAACAACUGUUUUGCAUUGUACUACUGAAAAGUGUCCCGUUCGGGCUGUGCAGAGGAGGGUGCAGGGCUCGGUGGGCACAGAGGGAGACUGGAUCAAGUGGCACGGGCUGCUUCUGCUUGCUGUACAUUGUGCAUUUUGGGAGUCAUGUGCACAUUAAGUGUGGAUGACACUGACGUUAACAAAAUAACAACACUGGACUGAAGAUUAAUAUCUCAAAAAAUGAACAUACUGACGCUUACUGGCAACCAUAUCAUCAAUAGAACGAUCAUGUGACCUCUAAGUCAGGGACAGAAAUGCACCGGCAUACAUCGUGACUCAUUCCAGUUGCACUGCACUAAAAAGGCCACACUCUAAGAAUAGACUAAUUUCCAGGCAAGGGUACGUUUGGUAAAGGUACGGAGAUCAGAGCUGGAAUUUUACGCCUUACACUCUUCAUCCAGAGCCAUGAGGGUGCGUUUGGUCCAUUUGCUCCACUGGAUCCCAGCGCCAGGUGCAUGGCCUCCUAUGAGAAGGCCUUUUGCCCAGUCUCUCCUUUUGAUUUUAACACUAUUUUGUUUACAGCAAUAGCUGCUCUGAUUUUUUUUUUUCUAGUUGGGAACACUAAUUAUUAUUUAUUGUGAUUUUAUUUCUUUGUAUUGUACAUUUUCAUUGUACUAUUUUGUGAUACUAAAUAUCACGCAGCCUUUGGGCAACUUGAGAUACAGGUAGUAAGUACUGUUGAGUGUUUAUGAAGAGCACACUCCUGUCCCUGGGCAUGAGAAUGAAUCAGCAGCAAUAAAUAAUCAUCUCAUCUAACUGGGCAUUGACUUUGGUGUAACAACAGCACUUUUCUGUGUAAUUUUGCUGUAAAUUUUUGUGACUAGUUGUGUAGCAUGAAUGUUUUCUCCA